ACCAAAGAUUGGCAACUUGAACACUCAAAGCAACAACUCGUUUUGGUCACCGUACGUAUUGACGCUUCUGUGCGUCUUUUGGGUCACGUGACCGACCGCACGUUUGCUCUGUUCGAGACUUACACCCAAAAGGCACGUCUGACAGGAAAGCAGCAUCCGCCAACGAAAUCACACAAAUGGAGCAGUCCUUACGGGUGAGGCGAGGCGAGGCGAGGCGGGAGCUCAGUAACACAUGAAUUCUAUCUUACCUGCGUUUUGUUCACAAUGAAACUCUUUGCGCUUGUCCGUGACACCAAACAAUGUGGGCGGGCACGAACACCAGUUGUUGCAGCUUUUUCGAGAAACCAUUUCCUGCUAUCGCAGGAGGAUGAUAUGAAAAUGUGUGCGAGUUGUCCCGUGGUAUAUGACUUUUGGAACUCAAAUGAUCAACUCGCUGAAGAAGCUGGAUAACGACAACAACAA